rnacentral:rRNA from 1 species
CCUACGGGAGGCAGCAGUGGGGGAUAUUGGACAAUGGGGGGAACCCUGAUCCAGCGACGCCGCGUGAGUGAAGAAGUAUUUCGGUAUGUAAAGCUCUGUCAGCAGGGAAGAAAGCAAUGACGGUACCUGACCAAGACGCCCCGGCUAACUACGUGCCAGCAGCCGCGGUAAUACGUGGGGGGCAAGGGUUAUCCGGAAUUACUGGGGGUAAAGGGAGCGUAGACGGCUGUGCAAGUCUGGAGUGAAAGGGGGGGGCCAACCCCCGGACUGCUCUGGAAACUGUAUGGCUGGAGUGCAGGAGAGGUAAGCGGAAUUCCUAGUGUAGCGGUGAAAUGCGUAGAUAUUAGGAGGAACACCAGUGGCGAAGGCGGCUUACUGGACUGUAACUGACGUUGAGGCUCGAAAGCGUGGGGAGCAAACAGGAUUAGAUACCCCAGUAGUC